GACAGAGGGUGCAAACGUUGCUCGGAAUCACUGGGCGUAAAGGGCGUGUAGGCGGGACAGUAAGUCGGGCGUGAAAUCCCUGGGCUCAACCCAGGAACUGCACUCGAAACUACUAUUCUUGAGUGUCGGAGAGGAAAGCGGAAUUCCUGGUGUAGAGGUGAAAUUCGUAGAUAUCAGGAGGAACACCAGUGGCGAAGGCGGCUUUCUGGACGAUAACU
rnacentral:rRNA from 1 species